CUGUUUUCUCUCUUUUUACCUAGGAUGUGAACGAUAUAAUGGCUGCAGUUGGAGCACCCAUUUUGUGACUGGAAGGACAAAAGCUGCACAUUAAAAAUAGGACAAGAAGCCACCAUAAAGAAACUGGGUCCUUGACAACCUCCUCAAGUAGCUAACCAGCUCCAAAUUACCUACCUGGGCUCUAUGUUUUAUCAGAAGGUAUUAGAUUAACCACUCUAGUUGAGAUAAAGUUGUAACUGAAACAGUCUUAGAACCCAAGUUAGGCCUGCACCAUGAUAGAACGGUGGCUAAUGGAUGGUCAAAGUAACAAGAAAAGGUGGCAGAAGGAAAAUAAUACCUCAAGGCAUUUCUAUGUUAA
rnacentral:lncRNA from 1 species